GAUUAUGGCUCAGAACGAACGCUGGUGGCGUGCUUAUACAUGCAAGUCGAGCGAGGCAGCAAUGCCGAGCGGCGAACGGGUGAGUAACGCGUAAGCAAUCUGCCCCAUAUCAGGAAAUACCCGUGCCAACGCGCGGUUAAUGUCCAGGAGAGUGGCCCUCCGCAUGGAGGGUUGACUAGAGAUUCAUCGGUAUGGGAUGAGCUUGCGUCCGAUUAGCUAGUUGGCGGGGCAACGGCCCACCAAGGCGACGAUCGGUAGCCGGCCUGAGAGGGUGAUCGGCCACAUUGGGACUGAGAUACGGCCCAGACUCCUACGGGAGGCAGCAGUAGGGAAUAUUGCACAAUGGGGGAAACCCUGAUGCAGCAACGCCACGUGUUGGGAAGAAGCAUUUCGGUGUGUAAACCACUGUCAUGAGGGAAUAAGGCCCGCCUUCCGGACGGACCUUGAAUGUACCUUGAGAGGAAGCACCGGCAAACUUCGUGCCAGCCGCAGC
rnacentral:rRNA from 1 species